CACAGGUGAAUGACUUGCACGUUGCCAUUGCUGCUUCUGUUAAUUUCAUCUUGUAAUUUUUCCAACCCUAUCAAAUGUCCUUCGGAAACCAUAGAAGGUAAAUAAAUGUUCAAGAGCAGGCUAACUCCCAUGCAUGAAAAAUGCCAGUGUCUGAUGUGAUGAGUAAAACAAUUAUCACACUGACAGUUGCUUCAAAGCCAACAUAACCCCCAACUCGUGUGUCUGUGCCGUUUAAGGCAAACAAAUGGACUAAAAUGUUCAUGUGGGUAAAAAGGGCUCAAAGUGUCUUUGAAACUUGUUUGUCAGAGUAGCUCAGAUUCUGGCUACGAGCUU